GAUCCUGGCUUAGGAUGAACGCUAGCGGCAGGCUUAACACAUGCAAGUCGAGGGGCAUCGGGAGUAGCAAUACUGCCGGCGACCGGCGCAAGGGUGCGUAACGCGUGAGCAACAUGCCCGUAUCAGGGGGAUAAUCCAUGGAAACGUGGUCUAAUACCCCAUAGUAAUUAUGUAAGGCAUCUUAUAUAAUUUAAAGCUUUGGUGGAUACGGAUUGGCUCGCGUGACAUUAGCUGGAUGGUAAGGUAACGGCUUACCAUGGCUACGAUGUCUAGGGGUUCUGAGAGGAAGGUCCCCCACACUGGAACUGAGACACGGUCCAGACUCCUACGGGAGGCAGCAGUGAGGAAUAUUGGACAAUGGAUGGAAAUCUGAUCCAGCCAUGCCGCGUGCAGGAAGACGGCCCUAUGGGUUGUAAACUGCUUUUGUAUGGGAGCAAUAAGGGCUACGUGUAGUCCGAUGAGAGUACCAUACGAAUAAGCACCGGCUAACUCCGUGCCAGCCGCAGC
rnacentral:rRNA from 1 species